rnacentral:rRNA from 1 species
ACCUGGUUGAUCCUGCCAGUUAUGAUAUGCUUUUCUCAAAGACUAAGCCAUACAUGCCUAAGUUCAUACCUUUACACGGUGAAACUGCGAAUGGCUCAGUAAAUCAGUUAUAAUUUAUUUGAUCGUACCGAAGUGGUAAAACACUUUACACAUUGGAUAACUGUGGGAAACUAGAGCUAAUACAUGUAACCUGCUACCUCGGGGUAGCGUGCAUUUAUUCGCCAAUGAAACCAACACACUGUCUUGCUAGACUGGCGCCAAUARGCAUGAGAGGGUGAGCAAUCGCCCUUUGGUGUUUAUGCCRGUGAACGGUUGCAGUGUUUAUGGUGAUUCUGAAUAACUGAUGCUGAUCGUCUAGAGCCUAUGUGCUCACGAUAUUUCAAUCAAAUUUCUGCCCUAUCAUACCUGUUGGUAGGGUAGCGGCCUACCAAAGUAAUGACGGGUAACGGGGAAUCAGGGUUCGAUUCCGGAGAGGCAGCCUGAGAAACGGCUACCACAUCCAAGGAUGGCAGCAGGCGCGCAAACUAUCCAAUCCAGAUAAUGGGAGAUGGUGACGAGAUAUAUUGGAACUCACCGGCUUUGCCGGUCGAGUUACCAGAUCGGCCUUAAUCUAAACCAAUAACGGAUUAUUCAACGGGAGGGCAAGUCUGGUGCCAGCAGCCGCGGUAAUACCAGCUCCUGUAGCGUAUAUGCUCGUUGUUGCGGUUAAAAAGCCCGUAGUUGAAUUACGGUACGAUCGAAAGGUGGCUCUGCCAUAUGGCCGUCCUCUUAAAAAAAGGCGUUUGUGUUGAGUGAGAAAGAUUGGCGUGUGUCAUGUGCAUGUGUUUUAUUUUUCUCUCCUCCCAGAUGACUGGGAGGUGCGGUUUUGGGUAAUAGGUGAAAGUGACUGUGUGUCAUAAGUGGUCGUAUGGUAGUAAUAUCUGCAACACACUGGCGUUCAGUUUCUAGCUCCGUUCUCAUUACCAGAGUUAAGGUGUGUGUGUAUGGUGGAGAAGAGAGCUUGUCUUUUCUUUUUCGCCUGCGCUCCCCUCUCUGGGUAAAUGGUGAGGACGGUUAGCACACUGGUUGUCGUAUAUGUGGUGGAGACAUCAUUAGGUCGUACUUUCUUGCCCAGCUCACGUGAUUUAUCCUUCAGUGGGUACAUGUGGCGCUAGGUGAAUUGUGCCUUGAGUAAAAUAGAGUGCUCCAAGCAGGCGAUGAUUGUGUAAAAAUUUUCAUAGCCAGAAUACUCCAGCAUGGAACGAAUUUCCAAUUGCUUAAACCACCCCACAUACCUAGUUAGUUGGUUGUGUGCCUCGCACACACAUGCUACGCAUCAUUUAUAUGGUGGUGUGUAGUGUGUCUAGGUUGUGCCCACAGAACAGUGUACUCAGUUUGCAUGUUGAGUGCGGGGAGGGGGUCCACCGUAUUGCGUGUGGAAUAAGUGUCAUUUAAGAUUAAAAUGUCCCCUUACACAUGUGUGCAUGUGUGAUAAAUUUUUUGUCCCACCUGCGCCAUGUAAUCACUCCCUCAUUCCCUGACUGGGACAAAAUGCACUUUCUGUGUAUGGGUAUCGGUUAACAGAGACAUUUGGGGGCAUUAGUAUUUGGCCGCGAGAGGUGAAAUUCUUUGACCGGUCAAAGACUAACAGUUGCGAAAGCAUUUGCCAAAGGUGUUUUCAUUAAUCAAGGACGAUAGUUGGAGGAUCGAAGACGAUUAGAUACCGUCGUAGUUCCAACUGUAAACUAUGCCAACCAGGACUCAGUCCGGAUCAUUUAUAUUUAAAAAAAUAUAUCACGGAUCCAGGUUGGGUCCCCAGGGAAACCUAAAGUUUUUGGGUUCCGGGGAGAGUAUGGUCGCAAGGCUGAAACUUAAAGGAAUUGACGGAAGGGCACCACCAGGAGUGGAGCCUGCGGCCUAACUUGACUCGACACGGGGAAUCUCACCAGGUCCGGACAUCGGAAGGAUUGACAGACUGAUAGAUCUUUCAUGAUUCGGUGGAUGGUGGUGCAUGGCCGCUCUUAGUUGGUGGAGUGAUUUGUCUGGUUUAUUCCGAUUCAACGGACAUGACUGGGUUCUCUAUUUUGGCCGUAUGAAAGUUUACAUCCGUGUUGAUAAUGUGGGUAUUUACAUAAUAUUCAUUUUCUCCCUGCUAGGCACACAAAAAGUUUAGCACUGUCACUGCGCUGGCUUUUUGGUGCCAGUGAAUUUGUGAGGCGAUUGGUGGCGCGCUGGGCUUAAACCACCUUGCACUUUUGUUAUUGGCCUCAUCACGGGGGUGUGUAGUUCUAGCUAGCAUCAAUGGAGAUGGUACCUGUGACGGUGUAUCAAAACUCCUGGUGUACUCCUGUUCCGAUCCGUGGUGAAUUGUCAUUGAUGAAAGGUCAUUAUUUUCCUCAUAAUCGUUCUCUGGUGCCGGCUAGUGUGAUGCAGUGUUGAAUGUGCCUGUGGGCCGGAUUGUGUUCGUGCGCCUUCAUAGAGAGACAACCUGUGGCAAGCAGGGGGAAGUACAGCAAUAGCAGGUCAGUGAUGCCCUUAGAUGUCCUGGGCUGCACGCGCGCUACAAUGGUAACGACAGCGAGUUUCUGUACUGAAAAGUAUGGGUAAUCUUUUUAAUCGUUAUCGUGCUGGGGAUUGAGCCUUGAAAUUAUUGCUCAUGAACCUGGAAUUCCUCGUAAGUACGAGUCACCAACUCGUGCUGAAUACGUCUCUGCCCUUUGUACACACCGCCCGUCGCUACUACCGAUCGAAUGACUUGGUGAGAACAUGGGAUUGGUCGACUCCAUAUGUGUGUUGGCCGAGAGCCUGUUCAAACUGCGUCACUCAGAGGAAGUAAAAGUCGUAACAAGGUUUCCGUAGGUGAACCAGCGGAAG